AGUGCUUUGUAUUCAUACAGGGUAUCCUGAGACCCAGCAGACACCCCUUCCCACACAUAUAAAGAAGUCAUACAAGAGGGCGCCUGGGUGUCACAGUUGGUUAAGUGUCCGACUUUGGCUCAGCGCAUGAUCUCAAGUGCAGGGACCGACGAUGAUGAUGGACGACGUGGGGCUCGGUCUCACCAUGAGAUGACCUCAGCCAUAAUCAAGAAUUGAAUGCUUAACUGACUGAGCCACCCAGGUGCCCCUCACAGCCUUUGAUUUUAGCACCCUAAGACUCGUUGCGGAGCUCUGACCUCCAAAACGGUUCUUUGGGAGUAGAAGAAACCUCCAAAUUCCAAAGAAAAUAUAAAAGUUAUGAGCACAGAAGAAACUCUCAGGGUAUAACUGCUUCCUGCCUGCCAGAAACACCAAGAAGAAAAUCAUUCAAAGAACCAACUUGUGAUAUUGGGAGCUUUUAGGAAAACUCAAUCGUAGUAGA